rnacentral:rRNA from 1 species
UACAGAGGUCCCGAGCGUUGUUCGGAUUCAUUGGGCGUAAAGGGUGCGUAGGUGGCGCUGUAAGUGGGGUGUGAAAUCCCGGGGCUUAACCCCGGGACUGCAUUCCAUACUGCGGUGCUUGAGGACUGGAGAGGAGACUGGAAUUUACGGUGUAGCAGUGAAAUGCGUAGAGAUCGUAAGGAAGACCAGUGGCGAAGGCGGGUCUCUGGACAGUUCCUGACACUGAGGCACGAAGGCCAGGGGAGCAAACAGG